UGCCCCCUCACCCCAGAAUAAUGUACUAAUCUUUUAGCAAAAAAGGGUCAUUAUUAACAUGUUAGGUUCAAUACUCCUAUUACAAUUAUGCAACUGUUAGGUGCUUAUUAUUUAUAUAUUUAUUUAUUUUACCUAUGGCUUUCUUGCAAGUACUGCAGUUGUUGUCUCAGGCUUGCUGCUUCUGUCUGCCAAAACUAGGAAGUAGAAAUACAAAUAUGAAAUAUGUUUAACAGUUAUUACUAAAGAAAAUGAUUUAAAAUGCAAUAGCUGUAAUGUAGAGAAUUCAAAGAACAACAUUAUGGACAAGAACCAACAAGAAGAGGAUUUUAACACAUCAUUGCUAAUAUGGGCAAAGAGUUUUGAGGAGAAGUUGUUAGAGAGACACAGAAGUGGGAGCAUGUAUGAUAGAUACUAUUUAUUGGUUAGCCUCACAUGUUUCAAAUGGCACCAUGGGAUAACUGUUUAUGUCGAAUCUACAUGUCUGCAUUCUGGUGUAUUCUAUAUGCAUUUUGUAUCUUUUCUAUGAAUGGUUUUAUAUCAUCUGUAGUACGCAUGAGCUCUUUUAAUUUGAAGCAUGGAGUUUAUCUUAAA